rnacentral:rRNA from 1 species
UACGGGGGGAGCAAGCGUUGUUCGGAUUUACUGGGCGUAAAGGGCGCGUAGGCGGCGUGACAAGUCACUUGUGAAAUCUCCGGGCUUAACUCGGAACGGUCAAGUGAUACUGUCGUGCUAGAGUACAGAAGGGGCAACUGGAAUUCUCGGUGUAGCGGUGAAAUGCGUAGAUAUCGAGAGGAACACCUGCGGCGAAGGCGGGUUGCUGGGCUGAUACUGACGCUGAGGCGCGAAAGUCAGGGGAGCGAACGGG